GCGCCGCCAUCUUACAUCUGAGGAGGCCCGCCUCUCUCCUUGCUUCCUGCCGUCAGAGUGGUCGAGGAGGUCGUCGUUGUCCAGGUUCCGGGGAGACUUAUCGGCCUGACCGCUGAGACCCAAAAGCUUUACCACGUGCUGAAGCCAGUUAGGGGUUUCGCACUUUUUUCUGAUUUGAACUCUGGGGAGCUUCAGAGUCUACUUCCUUAAACCCUUAUAUUAAAAGCACUGUUGCGCAAUGAAGGACAAAAAGUACUGGAAAUUGAAACCAGGAACUCAUACAUGCUAAGCACAUACUCUACCACUGAGCUGUACCCUCCCUGCCUCAACUAUUCUUAAAGAAACUUGAAUAAUUACCUCUUGGUGAAUAUAGUUCAGAUCUUCAUUCUGCUAAAAUAAGCCAAAGGCCAUUUUGGUGUUGAGAGUCCAGCAGCCCCAAGGAGAGGUCUGUGUGAGUAGAUGGGCAGGCAUCAAACUCAUGGCCAUGUGUGUGUUUCCGUGGCGUUGAAUGCUUCUGUUGGAUACUGUUUGAUGGCUGCAGUCUCUGCCUGUAUCUUUUUUUUCGAUGUUUUUACUAAAGUGUAGUUGGUUUACAAUGUUAGUUUCAGCUGUACAGCAAAGUGAUUCAGUUGUACAUAUACAUACAUAUACAUAUUUUCUUUUCAAAUU